rnacentral:misc_RNA from 1 species
UCCGGUUCAUCACCGGCAGUCUCCCUAGAGUGCUCACCAUGACGUGUUAGCAACUAAGGACAAGGGUUGCGCUCGUUACGGGACUUAACCCAACAUCUCACAACACGAGCUGACGACAGCCAUGCAGCACCUGUCUUUUGGUUCCUUUCGGCACUCUCGCCUCUCAGCAAAAUUCCAAAGAUGUCAAGAGUAGGUAAGGUUCUUCGCGUUGCAUCGAAUUGAACCACAUGCUCCACCGCUUGUGCGGGCCCCCGUCAAUUCAUUUGAGUUUUAACCUUGCGGCCGUACUUCCCAGGCGGAGAACUUAUCGCGUUAGCUUCGAUACCAAACAGCCAAGCUGCCUGACAUCCAGUCCUCAUCGUUUACAGCGUGGACUAC